GCAGAUCUCUAGAACCUCCUCAUCCUGUGUAACUGAAACUGCAGACCCAUGAACAACUCUCCAUUCCCCCCACUCCCAGCCCAUAGCAACCACCAUUCUACUACGUGAUUCCAUGAGUGUGACUACCCUAGGAACCUCAUAUCAUUCCUUGGACUCUGCUCUAUCUUUAGAGGUCACUGACUCAAAAUGUUCUUGGAAACAGAACCCUCAAAAACACACCUCGAAGGGCAAAGUAGGACUGUGAAGCUGGAAGGGACCCAGCACCUACAUGUUCCA
rnacentral:lncRNA from 1 species